UAGAUGGAGAGCGGUAUUACUGCCACUCUAUACUACUCUGGUGUACCUGCAACUGGAGUAUUGUGUUCAGUUCUGGGCUCCUCAUUACAAGAGGGAUGUGACAAGGUUGGAAUCAGUGCAGUGAAGGGCCACAAGGAUGGUGGCUGGUUUGCAGUGUAAG